rnacentral:rRNA from 1 species
UUUGGAAUAUUGCACAAUGGGCGAAAGCCUGAUGCAGCGACGCCGCGUGAGGGAAGAAGGUUUUCGGAUUGUAAACCUCUGUCUUCGGGGACGAAAAUGACGGUACCCGAGGAGGAAGCUACGGCUAACUACGUGCCAGCAGCCGCGGUAAUACGUAGGUGGCAAGCGUUGUCCGGAAUUACUGGGUGUAAAGGGAGCGUAGGCGGGUGCUUAAGUUGAAUGUUAAAACGAUCGGCUCAACCGGUCGAUGCGUUCAAAACUGAGUAUCUUGAGUGAAGUAGAGGCAGGCGGAAUUCCCGGUGUAGCGGUGGAAUGCGUAGAUAUCGGGAGGAACACCAGUGGCGAAGGCGGCCUGCUGGGCUUUAACUGACGCUGAGGCUCGAAAGCAUGGGGAGCAAA